rnacentral:rRNA from 1 species
GUGUCAGCAGCCGCGGUAAUACAGAGGGUGCGAGCGUUGUCCGGAAUUACUGGGCGUAAAGGGCGCGUAGGCGGCUUGAUAAGUAGGAGGUGAAAUUCCAUGGCUCAACCAUGGAUCGGCCUUCUAGACUGUCAGGCUUGAGCACGGUAGAGGCAGAUGGAAUUCCCGGUGUAGCGGUGGAAUGCGUAGAGAUCGGGAAGAACACCAGUGGCGAAGGCGGUCUGCUGGGCCGUUGCUGACGCUGAGGCGCGACAGCGUGGGGAGCAAACAGGAUUAGAUACCCUGGUAGUCC